UACGUAGGGGGCAAGCGUUGUCCGGAUUUAUUGGGCGUAAAGAGCGUGUAGGCGGCCAGGUAGGUCUGCUGUGAAAACUCGAGGCUUAACCUCGAGCUGUCGGCGGAAACCAUCUGGCUAGAGUCCGGAAGAGGAGAAUGGAAUUCCCGGUGUAGCAGUGAAAUGCGUAGAUAUCGGGAGGAACAUCUGUGGCGAAGGCGACACCCUGGACCAGCACUGACACUGAGGCACGAAAGCGUGGGGAGCAAACAGG
rnacentral:rRNA from 1 species